AAAGUUCUGGAAAUGUAUAGUGGCGAUAGUUACACAACAUUGUGAAUGGACUUAAUGUCAUUGAAUUGUACCCUUAAAUGGUUAGAAUGGCUGGGGCACCUGGGUGGCU